rnacentral:rRNA from 1 species
UGCAAGUCGAGCGCGAAAACACCUUCGGUGUGAGUAAAGCGGCGGACGGGUGAGUAACGCGUAGGAAUCUACCAUAGUUAGUGGGGGACAACUCGGGGAAACUCGAGCUAAUACCGCAUACGCCCUACGGGGGAAAGCGGGGGACCUUCGGGCCUCGUGCUAUUAGAUGAGCCUGCGUUGGAUUAGCUAGUUGGUGGGGUAAAGGCCUACCAAGGCGACGAUCCAUAGCUGGUCUGAGAGGAUGAUCAGCCACACCGGGACUGAGACACGGCCCGGACUCCUACGGGAGGCAGCAGUGGGGAAUAUUGCGCAAUGGGCGAAAGCCUGACGCAGCCAUGCCGCGUGUGUGAAGAAGGCCUUCGGGUUGUAAAGCACUUUCAAUUGGGAGGAAAGGUUCACGGUUAAUAACCGUGAGCUGUGACGUUACCUUUAGAAGAAGCACCGGCUAACUCCGUGCCAGCAGCCGCGGUAAUACGGAGGGUGCGAGCGUUAAUCGGAAUUACUGGGCGUAAAGCGCGCGUAGGUGGUCUGUUAAGUCGGAUGUGAAAGCCCCGGGCUCAACCUGGGAACUGCACUCGAUACUGGCAGACUAGAGUGCGGGAGAGGGAGGUAGAAUUCCACGUGUAGCGGUGAAAUGCGUAGAUAUGUGGAGGAAUACCAGUGGCGAAGGCGGCCUCCUGGCUCGACACUGACACUGAGGUGCGAAAGCGUGGGGAGCAAACAGGAUUAGA